rnacentral:rRNA from 1 species
AUUGAACGCUGGCGGCAGGCCUAACACAUGCAAGUCGAGCGAGCGGCGGACGGGUGAGUAAUGUCUGGGAAACUGCCUGAUGGAGGGGGAUAACUACUGGAAACGGUAGCUAAUACCGCAUACCAUCAGAUGUGCCCAGAUGGGAUUAGCUAGUCGGUGGGGUAACGGCUCACAUAGGCGACGAUCCCUAGCUGGUCUGAGAGGAUGACCAGCAACACUGGAACUGAGACACGGUCCAGACUCCUACGGGAGGCAGCAGUGGGGAAUAUUCCACAAUGGACGAAAGCCUGAUGCAGCCAUGCGGCGUGUGUGAAGAAGGCUUGCGGGUUGUAAAGCACUUUCAGCGGAGAAGCGUUACCCACAGAGAAAGCACCGGCUAACUCCGUGCCAGCAGCCGCGGUAAUUC